rnacentral:rRNA from 1 species
UACGUAGGGUGCAAGCGUUAAUCGGAAUUACUGGGCGUAAAGCGUGCGCAGGCGGUUCGCUAAGACAGAUGUGAAAUCCCCCGGGCUUAACCUGGGAACUGCAUUUGUGACUGGCGGCUAGAGUAUGGCAGAGGGGGGUAGAAUUCCACGUGUAGCAGUGAAAUGCGUAGAGAUGUGGAGGAAUACCGAUGGCGAAGGCAGCCCCCUGGGCCAAUACUGACGCUCAUGCACGAAAGCGUGGGGAGCAAACAGG